UCCAAAAGACCUGAUUUCACCUAAAUCAUCAGCCGCCAUUUCCACUCUACACCAUACAAAAACCAGUGAUUAACUGUAACAUUUUCCACCAUUUUCAAUCAUAUCGUCUUCAUCUCUAUUUGAGUUUGUCCUUGGUUGUGGUCGAGGUCCUUCAAUUAAACAAGUUUCAAAGCUAGAUUUGCUUGUAUUUUGUCUUGCUCGACAGUUGAAGAUCUUGCGAAGCCAGAGACUUAAGUUCGGAUUAGCGUAGAAAGCGGGCAAGGUACAAACGCGCACGUGAGUGGUCCGUCAGCUUAGGCCAUCCAUUCUGCUGUGUUGAAGUGCUCCCUCGUUCCGGAGCCCAUACUUUUGGUACAGAUCUUUCUGUUGUACAUAUUUAUGUAUAUAUGACUAUUUAGGGGUACGGCGGGGCCCUGUCCCGUCAUAUGAUUCUGUUGUCAUUGUUAGAGGCCUGUAGACAUGUUUGUGGGUCAUGGGUCGUUGUGGUUCAGAUAUAUCUGUGUGGCUUGCGUCUAAGCGGUUCCAUUUGCUAUGACAGCCUUAACGGCUUGUAUGCAUGUAUACGUAUAUAUAUGUUUUGGACGAUACAGCCUUGGUGGCUUCUGUAUGAUAUGUAUGUUACAUGUGACCGCGUAAGACGACAUCUGUUCUCAGUAUCUGUAUAAAUUAAUAUAUGUUGGAUAUGGAUAAGUCA